UAAAAUCCCCUAAAUUCUUUCUCCCACUCAUCAAAUUUUAGUUCUCUCAAUAUUGAAAUAAAAACAAUCCCUACCUAAUUUCUCUAGAAAUUCAUUCCAGAAAAUUUACUAGAUCUUGGUGAUCUAUUCAUUGGUUUCGCCAAAAAUUCAUCACGGAGAAUUAACUGCAGAUUCUACGAUUAAGUGAGAGAUUUUAGCAUUGGUAGAGUUCGAUGCUGCUUUUCAAUAUUGGAGUACUGCAUAUGCAAUACUUGAAAAUGUAUAUUUUAACUCUCUCGAUCAAACUGGGCGCAUAUGCAAAAGAAGUUCAACAUGCUGAGGAGAAUUUGAGAGGCAUUUGGCUUGCAAGACCAAGAAACCCUAACAAUAAUAUUUACUUCAAGAACGAGAAGUCAAUUCAUGUCGUGGUGUAGGAGUUGAAGAAGACCCCUCCAGAAAUGUAUCCUUUGUAUCUAGACAUUUGUGUUGUAUGUAGACAUUUGUCUUUAGUGUUUUGUUUCCCUUUAUCAAUUAGGAGUUUUAAUUUUUCAAAGAUAAUGUUAAGGGCUUUUGCAGGGAAUCUUCGUUCUAGUUUUUUGGCAAGUCUAAAUGACUAGGAAUCAUGAUAUACAUGCAUGUUAACAUAUAAGGUGUGAUAGGGGAAGCUCAAUGUAAGCAGGCGUCAUGACUGGUACAAAAGAUUGUGAAUGCUGCCAAAGAUAUACAACAAGUGGGGAUGCGGCUUAAUGACUUGAUGAUUGUGGAGCAGUUUUCACUGCACAAGCUAUAUCAUCAACUCAAAGGUCACUAUGAUAACGUCCCUUGGAGAAGAAUGGUCUGCAACAAUAGUGGUGCUCCUAAGUGGACUAUCAUGUUAAUACUGGCUGCUCAUAAUAAGCUCUAUACGACAAUGGCAAAUGGAGCAUGAAUGUCAGUUUUAUAUGCCCUUUAUGUAAAGUGCAGCAAGAAAGUUCCAACCACCUGUUCUUCCUAUGUGAUGUAUCGGCUAAAAUUUGGAUCAGGAUAAUAAUGUGGCAAGGCAUAUCUAGGAGGGUUAUGAGCUGGUGAGAAGAAUUACAAUGCGCUCAAGUGCAUUGGUGAGGAAAAACUAUGAAGUAUAUAGGAUGUUGCUCAGUGGAAUCGUCUAUUCUCUAUGCGAGGAACAAAACAUGAGUGUAUUCCAAAGCAAGUAAAGAUCAACUAAUUUUAUUAUUAGGUAGUUAGUACAGGAAGUAUGUCUUAGAGAGUUUGUGAAGCCAAAAUCGGUGGGUGUGUUUCAAGAACUUAAUAACUAUCCCUAGAAGUCAAAUACUACUUUUAUUUUUUUUGUUGCCAAGAAAAAUUCUGACUUAAUUUAAUCAAUAACUUGUUUCCUUUAUUCCCCAAAUUUACUUUUUUUCCCCAUCUCCUUCACGACGAAGCACCUUAU